CCUCUUCCUAGCUGCCUGGGAAGAGAGUCCUCUCUCCUGGCUACCUUUGGAUGAAGAUGUAGAACUCCGGGCUCCUCCAGCACCACGUCUGCCUGCACGCUGUCAUGUUUCCUGCCAUGAUGAUAAUGGACUGAACCUCUGAAAUUACUGAGAUGUUUCCAUCCUUAGAAGAUAUGUCACUGAUGCUUGCCAUCACUGGAGUCUGAAGAGACAGGACAUGUAGCGAUUUAAGGGAGGAGGAUGUCCUUGGUGCACAGUUGGAAAGGAUACAGUCGGCAGUGGCAGGAAAGGCCAGGCGCCAGAGUGCGGGAUUGAGAUGCCAAAGCUUCUCGAAUGUCAGGGAACAAAACGUGGAAACUAGUCAGGAAAAACAGCUGGGUAAUAGACCUCAAGGCCUGAUCCACUUCCUCCAGGCUAGCCCAGCCUGCCAACGGUCACACCUUCCCAAAUCAGCACCACCAGAUGGGAACCAGACAUUUGUGUGCACGAGCCUGUGUGCUCACGAGCCUGGGUGCUCACGAGCCUGUGGGGACUUGUACAACCCAACCAUAGAGUAAGCCUGAGCCUCCAGCUUCCUUUCCAAGCUUCAUAUUCUUUCACUGAGGACUAGGAUUGGGUUAGGCAGUAAAAUAAAGUUUAUACAAGAU